AUCCCAUCUUGGUGUCUACUUCUCUGAGGACUUGUGGUCUGGGUAAUUAGGAGGACCACAAGACACGUAAUACCCUACUGAGGACUCCAGGGCAUGGGGCAAAUGCUGCUGGAGUGACUCUCACAAGCUAGAAAAAGCAAUGACCACUGCAAAGUGAAAUGGAAAUGCCUGAGUUGCCCUAGCAGAUGGAAGACAAAGGAAUAAAAAAGACAACAGAAGGGAAUGUGCUGGAAUGGAUGUAUUAUGUAAGGCCAGAAGAACUACUAGAAGACUACAUUCCAUGGGACACAAUAUUCACCAAGGAUAUAAGGAAGCUGAUGAGAGGGUCACCAGUUUCUCUUAAGAAGUUCAGCGAUGGCUUUCUUUUGCAGACCAGAGCCGACAACAGGAGAGGCAGUUACAGGGACGAAUGCAGCAGAAGGCAGUGAGUGAGGCGCCUUUCCAGGAGGAAGAGCUUACAGAGAUGGUUUAGUAAGUCCCCACAAUGCCUCUCAUGUUUUUGCCCCUAGAUGGAUAGGUUUCCAUUAUUAAACUACAUCAGGAACAAUGGCAUCAUAGAACGUAAGUUUCGUUAUAAUAAAACAUGACAAAAUUUUAAA